rnacentral:rRNA from 1 species
UACGUAGGGGGCGAGCGUUAUCCGGAUUUACUGGGCGUAAAGCGCGUUAAGGCGGUUGGCAAAGUUGGUUGUGAAAUCUCAGGGCUCAACCCUGAAAUUGCGACCAAUACUGGUCGACUAGAGUGUGAGAGAGGAAGGUGGAAUUCCCGGUGUAGUAGUGAAAUGCGUAGAUAUCGGGAGGAACACCAAUGGCGAAGGCAGCUCGCUGGGACGGUACUGACGCUGAGACGCGAAAGCGUGGGGAGCAAACAGG